GUAAGGAAUAUUGCUCAAUGGCCGAAAGGCUGAAGCAGCAACGCCGCGUGGAGGAAGAAUGGCUUUUGCUUGUAAACUCCUGUAUGAGGGGAAAAAAUCUCGCCUUUGGCGAGGAUGAUGGUACCCUCGGAGUAAGCCCCGGCUAACUACGUGCCAGCAGCCGCGGUAAUACGUAGGGGGCAAGCGUUGUCCGGAUUUAUUGGGUGUAAAGGGUGCUCAGGCGGAUUCGUAAGUCAGAGGUGAAAUCUCCCGGCUCAACCGGGAAACUGCCUUUGAUACUGCGAGCCUUGAGUUUGGAAGAGGAUGAUGGAAUAUCUGGUGUAGCAGUGAAAUGCGUAGAUAUCAGAUAGAACACCAAUGGCGAAGGCAGUCAUCUGGUCCAUAACUGACGCUAAAGCACGAAAGCGUGGGUAGCAAACAGGAUUAGAAACCCCGGUAGUCC
rnacentral:rRNA from 1 species